UACGGAGGGUGCGAGCGUUGUUCGGAUUUACUGGGCGUAAAGGGCGCGUAGGCGGUUUGGCAAGUCAGGUGUGAAAUCCUUCCGCUCAACGGAAGAAGUGCACUUGAAACUGCCAAGCUAGAGUAUGGGAGAGGAGAGCGGAAUUCCCGGUGUAGAGGUGAAAUUCGUAGAUAUCGGGAGGAACACCCGUGGCGAAGGCGGCUCUCUGGCCCAAUACUGACGCUGAGGCGCGAAAGCGUGGGGAGCAAACAGG
rnacentral:rRNA from 1 species